UUGCAGAUCUAUCAUUCUGUUGCCAAAAUGAAGUUACUGAAGCUUUUGUAGUAAUUGCUGUGACCGGGCAGAGCAAAGGCACUUAUGUACAUUCAUGCUGUGCGAUUCCUGCUGAAAGGUCUUUCAGGAAAACAACGACAUUCAGGAAGUCAUCCUCAGUCUCUGUUGUAUUAUAUGGAAGUCCUUGAUCCUGUUGAUGGCACUGCCUUUGCUUUUGCAAGAUUAAAAUGAAAUGAAGUUUCUGAGAUGUUAACUCAAAUCUUGACCCCAAACAUGACACCAAGAUGACUGGAUACAAGAAGAAAAUUAAUGUCACCUCAGGAAGUAUCUCCCCCAUACUCCAUCAAGAGCACUUAUAAUCCCGUAAGCACU